AGAGAAGGGUGUCCCAGAUGUAGGCAAAGCGUCCUCCAUGUGUUCCUGGAGGACCGUCCCAAGUCCUUCUCCAUUCUCCCAACCUCUUGGGCCUGGUCUUGCCCAAGUCUUUCUGAUUGGUGGGACUUAAAUCACACCCAAAAUUCCAGCUGCAGGAGAGCUCUGAGAUUUCAUCUUUCCAACCUCUGUGUGCUACGUGGGGGUUGGAGCACUUGCUGACAAGCCUUGCAACCACCAUUGACAGGAUGUCCUCCACCUUUUCAAUCUGAUUUGCUCUUUGCCAUGCAGACCUGUGGAUGAAGAGCCAGAGUCCUCCAAGGUGAAGCUGGACUGAAUAUUUCUGUCCAUAAGACUAUUAGAAUCCCCCAAAGUGGGAUACCAGUGAGGACCUCACCAGCAGCUGCUGUCUCUCCAAUGCAGCUCCACAGGGCCUGUGAGCAGGGCUGGCUAUGAGAUCCUGCCCUGAAGAGCAGUACUGGGCUGCUCUGCUAGGCACCUGCAUGUCCUGCAAAGCCAUCUGCAACCAUCAGAGCCAGCGCACCUGUGCAGCCUCCUGCGGUGAGUUCUGGGACCUGAGCCCAGGGGACAGUGUGAUCACCCCCAACGCCUGUCCCCAGAGCACCCUCUGGCCCCACAGUCAGGUGGCUGAGGAGAGGAUGGCAGGAGGAGAUGUACAGUGUGGCACCUCUUAUCCCUCCACCUUCCUGCUCUGGCCACACUGCCUCCUUUCAGUGUCGAACAUGCCAUGUUCUUCCCUGCCUCGGGUUCUUUGCACAUGUUGUUCCCGCUGCCUGGAAUGCAUGCUCUCUAUCAUCUUCCCUCAGCUCCCUCCUACCCAACUUUCAGGUCUCGGCCCAAACAUCGGGGGUCUCCUCUGACCACACAGUAGUACUGGGCCCUCCUUUGUACUGCUAGUGUUACUUUCUUUUGAAACUUUUAAUUACAGAACUUACCACACAUAUACAUAGAGAGGACUGCACAAUGAUGCCCUCCUCAUCCAUUACCAGCUUCACAAAUCAUUUAAAUUCUGCCUUGUACUUUCCCAACCAGUUGUUUUGGCUUGUGUAUUUUAAAGCAAAGCCAAGACCUCAUAUCAUUUUACCUGCAGAUACUGGGCCAUAAAGAUCUGUAAAACAUAACCCAAAUAUCCUAUCACUGCCAGCAAUAAUUUAUUAACAUCAUCUAAUAUUCAGGCCAUAUCCAAUUUUCCCUGAUUGUCUUGAAAACUAUCCAUUGCUUGCUGUUCUUUUUCAUAAUCUGUCUUUUUCCUUGAUAGAACUUACCACAAUUU
rnacentral:lncRNA from 1 species